rnacentral:misc_RNA from 1 species
GGAAUUUCAUAAAAUACCACAACAUGUGAACUAAGGUCAAAGAUAAAAUUGCAUGUGACUACCAUUAUUGUAACUCAUAACUUAAACCUUAACAGCCAAGCAGCAUAAUGAGAACAGAUUAAAAUCUAGAACUCACAGAAUACUUUCAAAGCUCAAGAAUAUUAUUCUUUAGCACAAUAAAACAGAAACUAGGGAUCACAUUCAUGUAUGGAGACACCAGCCAGUUCUACCACAGAGAAGCAUAAGUUGGACUUCAUAUCUCUUUCCAAAGCAAGGCACAUGCUUGGUGAGCUUGACACACUCAUUUUAAAAAUCCAUAAAAUUGUUUUUGUUUCCAUAAAAAGUUCUUAUACUUGAUGUUUCCAGGAAUUGGCAUAAAUUGAAGCACCAGCUCCAUCAACAACCAAAUAAAGUUGCCCAUCACUACUAUCAAAAACACAAGCUUUGACAAAGAGCCUUUUGACCAAAUGCUUAUGUCAGCUUCAGUAAACAUUAUUCCAAACCCAUUUCAAAAUCAUAGAUUUCAUCUAGGUGAUGAGCAUAGAUCAGCCUUUCUCAUAUUCAGUACUACAGCAUAUUUGAUAUUACAUUGUCGACAUUGACAAUAGUGGCAAGAACAAAGGUGAAAACCUUGAAUAAAAUUAAUGCAUUACCAACAACAACAACUACAACUAAGCCUUAAUCCCAAGCCAGUUGGGGUCAG